rnacentral:rRNA from 1 species
GGAAUAUUGGACAAUGGGCGCAAGCCUGAUCCAGCCAUGCCGCGUGUGUGAAGAAGGCCUUCGGGUUGUAAAGCACUUUCAGCGAGGAGGAAGGGGUUGUAGUUAAUAGCUGCAAUUUUUGACGUUACUCGCAGAAGAAGCACCGGCUAACUCUGUGCCAGCAGCCGCGGUAAUACAGAGGGUGCGAGCGUUAAUCGGAAUUACUGGGCGUAAAGCGCACGUAGGCGGCUCUGCAAGUCGGGUGUGAAAUCCCCGGGCUCAACCUGGGAACUGCAUUCGAUACUGCAUUGCUAGAGUAUGGGAGAGGGAAGUGGAAUUUCCGGUGUAGCGGUGAAAUGCGUAGAUAUCGGAAGGAACACCAGUGGCGAAAGCGACUUCCUGGACCAAUACUGACGCUCAGGUGCGAAAGCGUGGGGAGCAAAC